GUGUCAGCCGCCGCGGUAAUACGGAGGGUGCGAGCGUUGUUCGGAAUUACUGGGCGUAAAGCGCGUGUAGGCGGCCUUGCAAGUCAGGCGUGAAAGCCCUCGGCUUAACCGGGGAAGUGCGUCUGAAACUGCUUGGCUUGAGUACGGGAGAGGGAGGCGGAAUUCCCAGUGUAGAGGUGAAAUUCGUAGAUAUUGGGAGGAACACCGGUGGCGAAAGCGGCCUCCUGGACCGAUACUGACGCUGAGACGCGAAAGCGUGGGGAGCAAACAGGAUUAGAAACCCCCGUAGUCC
rnacentral:rRNA from 1 species